AGCAUGCAAUCAACCCUAGGGGUGAAAUCCUGUACUUUUCUUUCCUUGGAAGAAAAAGAAGAGUGGAACAAACUCCCAAGGAGGAACAAAGAACUAGAAGAGCUUACAUGAAUCAUCGAGUCCAUCUCCUGUCCACAACCAGUUCCUGGACCUUGCCCAAAACAUUCCAGAGGUUUCAAGAAAUAUUGAGAAAGUCGAGUCUGCAGGGGGUGCUGCACAAGCUCCUGUCUCUCAUUCCUCCCCCUCACUAACAGCAGGGAAUAAUCUGAUGUAAAUAGACGGGUAGUGCCAGAAAUGUGACAAAGAAGGAAAGAGAGGUGCUGCAUACAGUCUGAAGCAAAUGCCAUCUCACUGCCUUUCAGUAUAUGCUCAUCCCUUUGUGCUACUGUAGUGGUGCCUUGUAAAUGGAUCUUAAUUUCAUAAUAAUAUAUGGCAAUAAUUCUUUCCUGACAAGCAACCAUGACUGUGGUUGGUAAGCAUCUAUUUGAAAAUGGAAAAGCUAAAUAGGCCUUAAAGUAAUUAAGACUCAAAGAUUUUUUUCUUCCUACUGCAACUCCAAAAGAGAAUCGGCUUCAAAACAUGCCUUAAAUGUAUAAACAGUGUAUUAGCAAGGGCAUUUCUCAGUAAGGGCUGAGGAUUCAGAAUAUGGGGAUAUCGAUUACAUCCUCUUUUAGAUUUCCACAGCAGGUUUCCAAGAAGGUGGCUAUCUAGAACUGAAUAGACAACCACAUUUUUGCUGAAUAGCUAGAAAGCAAAGGAAACUCAUUAUGUGGUUUUUAAAAAGUCUUGUGAAUUGUGGAAAAGAUAUGUAAUGUUUCUGCUGAAAAAAUGCCAUCAUAAUUAUCUAUAUGUUCUUUAUUUCACGCCAAGAAUUUU